rnacentral:rRNA from 1 species
UACGUGGAGGGGCAAGCGUUAUUCGGAAUUAUUGGGCGUAAAGGGUGCGUAGGCGGCGAGGUAAGUCUGGUGUGAAAUCCUGGGGCUCAACCCCAGAAUUGCACUGGAUACUGCUUUGCUAGAGGACUGGAGAGGAGAUUGGAAUUCACGGUGUAGCAGUGAAAUGCGUAGAUAUCGUGAGGAAGACCAGUGGCGAAGGCGAAUCUCUGGACAGUUCCUGACGCUGAGGCACGAAGGCUAGGGGAGCAAACGGG